CCAUCCACUGCUCCUUUUACACCGCCUCCUGAAUCUGUUCAGCUGACGACACCUUCUUCGCCGGAGGUGCCAUUCGCUCAACUCCUGACGUCUUCUUUGGAGCGUGCUCGAAGAAAUAGCGGGACCAAUCAAAAGUUUGCAUUGUCCCAUUAUGAAUUCCAGUCUUAUCCGCUGUACCCAGGAAGUCCUGGUGGUCAGCUCAUCUCACCAGGCUCAGUUAUCUCAAAUUCAGGCACUUGUUCUCCUUCCCCCAUACGGAACUCAAGAAUGGGGUUCCGUAUGGGGGAAGCUCCCAAGGUCUUGGGCAUUGAGCAUUUUAAUACUCGUCAACGGGGCUCAAGAUUGGGUUCUGGAUCUUUGACGCCCGAUGGAUUGGGGCUAGGUUCAAGGCUUGGUUCUGGU
rnacentral:misc_RNA from 1 species